CCAUAGUGAGGGGAGGAGGGCAGUGCGAUCCAGCCCGGAUUCUGAGUGCUGGUUCUGCCCCAGCAGCGCCUGGGGGAGAGUAUUUAACGCAGCAGAGCAUCGUGCGGCAGCCGACAAGGGUAAAACCACUCACCUGCCCGGGAUCUGGGUCCUUCACUGGGCUGACACAGAACCUGCACGAUGGAGGAAAUCAUCCUGCAGAGUCCUGGGGUUGUAUCUUCCCCCAGAGACAGCUUUGGCAAGAGGGCAGCUGCCAAGUUGGUCUUCAGGCUGAAGCUCAGUAACAAUCACUGGCUGGCUUGACAACAGGGGACCUGUUAUGAAAUCAAGCUCUAGAAGCAGCAGAAGGAAGGUUGUUCUGGAGCAGGUCUUGCAGAUGGCCACUGAUGGGUCACCUCAGUGAACCUCAGUGUGAAAUGGCCACCUCAGUGUAACUGCUCCUGCUCCCCUCCCUGGCCUGGCUGCAGCCACCUCCUUGGACCUGAUCUGCAGCUGGCUGGAGGGAAAAGAGAUUGUCUUCUCUUGCAGAAUAAAAUAAGUAAUGGAAAA